rnacentral:rRNA from 1 species
UGUCGGCAGGCCUAACACAUGCAAGUCGAACGGUAACAGGAAGCAGCUUGCUGCUUCGCUGACGAGUGGCGGACGGGUGAGUAAUGUCUGGGAAGCUGCCUGAUGGAGGGGAUAACUACUGGAAACGGUAGCUAAUACCGCAUAAUGUCGCAAGACCAAAGAGGGGGACCUUCGGGCCUCUUGCCAUCGGAUGUGCCCAGAUGGGAUUAGCUUGUUGGUGGGGUAACGGCUCACCAAGGCGACGAUCCCUAGCUGGUCUGAGAGGAUGACCAGCCACACUGGAACUGAGACACGGUCCAGACCCCUACGGGAGGCAGCAGUGGGGAAUAUUGCACAAUGGGCGCAAGCCUGAUGCAGCCAUGCCGCGUGUAUGAAGAAGGCCUUCGGGUUGUAAAGUACUUUCAGCGGGGAGGAAGGGAGUAAAGUUAAUACCUUUGCUCAUUGACGUUACCCGCAGAAGAAGCACCGGCUAACUCCGUGCCAGCAGCCGCGGUAAUACGGAGGGAGCAAGCGUUAAUCGGAAUUACUGGGCGUAAAGCGCACGCAGGCGGUUUGUUAAGUCAGAUGUGAAAUCCCCGGGCUCAACCUGGGAACUGCAUCUGAUACUGGCAAGCUUGAGUCUCGUAGAGGGGGGUAGAAUUCCAGGUGUAGCGGUGAAAUGCGUAGAGAUCUGGAGGAAUACCGGUGGCGAAGGCGGCCCCCUGGACGAAGACUGACGCUCAGGUGCGAAAGCGUGGGGAGCAAACAGGAUUAGAUACCCUGGUAGUCCACGCCGUAAACGAUGUCGACUUGGAGGUUGUGCCCUUGAGGCGUGGCUUCCGGAGCUAACGCGUUAAGUCGACCGCCUGGGGAGUACGGCCGCAAGGUUAAAACUCAAAUGAAUUGACGGGGGCCCGCACAAGCGGUGGAGCAUGUGGUUUAAUUCGAUGCAACGCGAAGAACCUUACCUGGUCUUGACAUCCACGGAAGUUUUCAGAGAUGAGAAUGUGCCUUCGGGAACCGUGAGACAGGUGCUGCAUGGCUGUCGUCAGCUCGUGUUGUGAAAUGUUGGGUUAAGUCCCGCAACGAGCGCAACCCUUAUCCUUUGUUGCCAGCGGUCCGGCCGGGAACUCAAAGGAGACUGCCAGUGAUAAACUGGAGGAAGGUGGGGAUGACGUCAAGUCAUCAUGGCCCUUACGACCAGGGCUACACACGUGCUACAAUGGCGCAUACAAAGAGAAGCGACCUCGCGAGAGCAAGCGGACCUCAUAAAGUGCGUCGUAGUCCGGAUUGGAGUCUGCAACUCGACUCCAUGAAGUCGGAAUCGCUAGUAAUCGUGGAUCAGAAUGCCACGGUGAAUACGUUCCCGGGCCUUGUACACACCGCCCGUCACACCAUGGGAGUGGGUUGCAAAAGAAGUAGGUAGCUUAACCUUCGGGAGGGCGCUUACCACUUUGUGAUUCAUGACUGGGGUGAAG